GCGCCUUAUGCAUGCAAGUCGAGCGAAGCUUUUCAGUAGUUUACUACAGAAAAUGACUGAGCGGCGAACGGGUGAGUAACGCGUGAGCAACCUACCUUAGUUACUGGGAUAGCCCGAGGAAACUCGGAUUAAUACCGGAUAUUCUUAUUUAAUCACAUGAUUAUUUAAGGAAAGGUCAGCCGAACUAAGAUGGGCUCGCGUUCUAUCAGCUAGUUGGUAGGGUAAUGGCCUACCAAGGCUACGACGGAUAGCUGGUCUGAGAGGACGAUCAGCCACACUGGGACUGAGACACGGCCCAGACUCCUACGGGAGGCUGCAGCAGGGAAUAUUGCGCAAUGAGCGAAAGCUUGACGCAGCGACACCGCGUGUGGGAUGACGGAUCUAGGUUUGUAAACCACUUUCAGGAGGGAAGAAAAUGACGGUACC
rnacentral:rRNA from 1 species